AUCAGACUUGGGGUUGCCAAGGGGCAGGCAGGGAGGGAAAGGGAUGGACUGGGAAUGUGGGGUUAGUAGAUGCAAACAAUUACAUUUAGAAUGGAUAAACUACAUGGUCCUACUGUACAGCACAGGGAACUUUAUUCAGUAUCCUGUGAUAAACCAUAAUGGAAAAGAAUAUUAAAAAAAGAAUAGAUGUGUGUAUAAGUGAGUCACUUUGCUGUACAGCAGAGACUGGUACAACACUGUAAAUCAACUAUACUUCAAUAAAAAUAAAUAAAUAAAUGAAGAGGUGGAUUAGCUUAGAGGGUGGCACCCUAUCCUAUUCUGUUCUGGCAUGGGAGUAACUGAAGCAGGGACUAUUUUUAAAACAUCUCAACUCUGACAAGGAGGAUGAAACGGCCCAGCUCCCUGUGGUGUAUCUCAGUCACUGCCGCCUGCACUACCUUGCCUCACCCUUCCCUUCGAUCCUGAACUAAGGAAAACGGAGAUACUGAUUUGGACCAGGUUCCCCAGGUGAUGCAAUGCCCAGCUGCGGUGAAGAGAAGCGAGGAAGGGGAGGUGAUGCUCCUGCCUGGGAAAACGAUCUGCUGGCUGAUGCCUUAGCAAAGAAGGGACAGAAGCACUGACAAAUGGGCUGAUACGGCACUGCCCGUGAAACAGCAGAUGCUCUUCAGGCAUUGCCAAGUCUUGGAGUUUCGGGUCUGUAUUCUGUUGGAACCGGCUACUAGAUAAUGCAAUCGAAUUCCUCAUAUCCAAUUCCAGAACCGUCCAGCCACACGAGCGAACUGAUGAGGAGGAUGCUUUGGUGAAAGAGGUCGUAAACAACAUGUGGAUAUACUCAGGCUAGAAAGGAGGGUUUGAGAAGAGAGAUGCUGAUGUGUGGGGAGGAAUCCCAGGAUCCAGAAAAGCAGGAGGAAAGGAAGGCAUGAGGAGAAGCAAGGAUAGAAGCAGAUGUAGCUCAGAACCCUGGGGUACAACCUGCCUUUAAUGCUGAAAAAGAGAGACAGAAGUAAAAAUGGCCCAUUCAUGCCCAGCAGAGUCUGGCCAUAACUGCAUCUGGCAGGUUGCUUGCAAAUUAAAGCAAAAUAUUUUUAUCUUUAUCCUGCAAGGAACAAAAGUUAAAAAAAAGUUUUUAAUGACCAUAAAUACUUUUUAAACAUUUACUUACCAUCUUCUGGAUUAUAAAAGCUCAGAUAAAAUUCUAAAAAAUAAAAUUAGAAUUUUUUUCCCCACAGGCCUUAAAGGCCUUUGUGAGGGAUUACAAAAAAAUUACGCAGAUACAGAGAAAAUCUCCAUUUUCUUCAGAGGAAGGAUAGAAAGAGUGAAAGUACAUUUCUCUAUUGUUUCUAGAUGUUGGCAUGUUUAUUUUUUAAUCAGGAGGUAGUAUUUAUAAGCUUAAUAUGGGUAUCACAUGGAAUCUUGUUCUUUUAGCUCCUAAAAAUUGAGAAUGUAAUGUGUACUUGAGUCCCUUCCUGAGUUGGGAGUAUGGUAGGCUGAUAGUGGCUCUCAAGGGUGUGUCCCAACCCCUGGAACCAGUUACCUUAUUUGGAAAAAGGGUCUUUGCAGAUGUGAUUAAGUUAAGGGUCUUGCGAUGGGGAGAUAAUCUGGAUUAUCUUGAUGGGCCUGAUUGUAAUCACAUGUAUCCUUAUAGAGGCGGGAAGUAGAGGGAGAUUAGACAGACAGAAGAGGAGAAUCUGGCCUGGAAGCAGAGAUGAGAGCAUUGUGGCCACAAGCCAAGGAAUGACAGUAGCCACCAGAAGCUCCUGGUAGGAGCAAGGAAUGGAUUCUCCCCUGGAACCUCUGGAAGAAGCAUGACCUUCUGACAACUCAUUUCACACUUCUGGCCUCCAGAACUGAACAGAUCAGGGCGGAAGGGUUUCACUCCGUUGGAAUUCUCCACUCUGAAAAUCUUCUCUGGUGGGGUAGGAAGAAUUCAAAUUACAAGAAAGAAUGCAGCGUGAAGGAAUUUUAGCAGCAGCCGCCAGACUCUGAAUUGGUUCACCGACCCUGGAUAAAUGAAUGAAGUCUAGAAUUGGGAAACGGGUCUUCAGCCUUGUACUCUAUCUUCUUGGGCAAAUCUCUUAACCUCUCUGAGCUUCAAUUCUGUCUUCUACAAAUGAAGAGGGUUCGAUCAGACGAUUUCUAAGAUCUCUUACUGCUCUAACUUCUGUAUUUUUUCACGCAGUCCUGCUUCCACAAGCCAAUAACUUCUUCAUGACUUCUCCCUGAUAUCAAGGGACACCACAGAUGAAGGAAACCCACAGAGGAGAUUUGUUCAACUCACAAGCAUGCACUGAACACUGAGAAGGGGGGGUAGUGCUGGAGAAUGACCCAGCUGAUGCCUCUUACAACUCCAAGUGUUUAUUUUCUGAUCAGUAUCACCAUUUCCUGAGCACCUUACAUGGACCUGUGAGGAAAAAAAUUUUUUUAAGGGGGAAACUAGUAAAAAUUUCAUUCAU